UCCUUUUAUCCUAUGA
rnacentral:sRNA from 1 species